rnacentral:rRNA from 1 species
GGUGCGUAACGCGUAUACAAUCUGCCUUUCACAUAGGGAUAGCCCGAAGAAAUUUGGACUAAUACCUAAUGGUAUAUAGAUGUGGCAUCACAUUUAUAUUAAAGCUGAGGCGGUGAAAGAUGAGUAUGCGUUCUAUUAGCUAGUUGGAGAGGUAACGGCUCCCCAAGGCUACGAUAGAUAGGGGUUCUGAGAGGGAUAUCCCCCACACUGGUACUGAGAUACGGACCAG